GGACCCGCACAAGCGGUGGAGCAUGUGGUUUAAUUCGAUGCAACGCGAAAAACCUUACCUACUCUUGACAUACUUGGAAGCUCUUGUAAUGAGAGUGUGCCUUUUGGAACCAAGAUACAGGUGCUGCAUGGCUGUCGUCAGCUCGUGUCGUGAGAUGUUCCGUUAAGUCGGAUAACGAGCGCAACCCUUACCCUUAUUUGCCAGCGAUUCGGUCGGGAACUAUAAGGGGACUGCCGGUGAUAAACCGGAGGAAGGUGAGGACGACGUCAAGUCAUCAUGGCCCUUACGAGUAGGGCUACACACGUGCUACAAUGGGGAAUACAGACGGACGCUAAGCCGCGAGGUGGUGCUAAUCCUAGAAAGUAUGUCGUAGUCCGGAUUGGAGUCUGCAACUCGACUCCAUGAAGUCGGAAUCGCUAGUAAUCGUGGAUC
rnacentral:rRNA from 1 species